CGCUAUCCGAGGACUUACAGACUGAUCAGGAAGCUCGGCCAAAGCCUAAGGGAGAGGAACAUAUCUAAUUUGCACUUGGUGUGUGCCACAAUACAGGGACUGACUUCCGGAAGUUGCGCUAGUUURCGCUGAGGGUUUUCAACAAUCUGGAAGUUUGAAGGGGAAGAGGGGUGUUGAUAAAGACUCCUCCAAGAUGAUUUGUUGUUGAUCUUCGACAUGCUGGCUGGCGGCAAUUUGAUUCCUCAGUGCAAGCAAAACGAUCAGUUCAGUGUUUAUAUGAGGAUAAAGGGGAUAAGAAAGAUUGCAUAAUGGUUUGGACGAUUUUAUCAUCGUCUCGUCAGCCAAUGAGGAUYGAGCAAUUUCUUUUGAAUUUUAUUGUUCUAUUGAAGUCCUAGUAAUCAAUGUCCAAUUCACAAUUCUCACAUUAAUCUGUUAAUGGUUUUAGUCUUCUUAAUGAGAAAUCAUCAUAAAUUACGCUAAGUACA